rnacentral:lncRNA from 1 species
GUUAGCAUUGAGAUAGUCCCUACUCUCAGGCUUACUAUCUACUACAGUGGUACAUCGGGAUGCAAACAGGAUCUGUUCCGGAGCCCCAUUCGCAUCCAGAAGCAAAUGUGAACAAUAAAUUGACCAAAUUGACCCAUUAAGCCUAAAUAGGCUUUGUGUUUAGGAUCCACACUGUGCAAGCAUCAUCACACCAAAUGGAGUGAAUGUUUACUUGGUUAAAAAUGAUGGAAAGGCUGGCUUCAUCCCCUUCAACGUGCUGCCCACCUGACAGUCCAAGACUCUGUGAUUCUGCUGAUCCUUAGGAUGGAGAAAUUUGAAGACAGGUGGCACCACCAGCUGUUUCAUCACAUGGUGUUGGCUUCUGUGAGCCCCAGCCAGCAUGGCCAGUAGCCAUGGAUGAUGAGAGCUGGAGUCCAGCAGCUUCUGAAUUACGAGUGUUAUGAUGGGAGUUGUAGUCGAACAACUCUGAUUACUCUAGGCAGUCCCUCACAAGUGUAUCUGUAUAACAUUUGUCUACAGGCACUUGCUCAUGGCCCACAACCCUAA